rnacentral:rRNA from 1 species
GACGAACGCUGGCGGCGUGCUUAACACAUGCAAGUCGAACGAUGAAGCACCAGCUUGCUGGUGUGGAUUAGUGGCGAACGGGUGAGUAACACGUGAGUAACCUGCCCCUCACUCUGGGAUAAGCCUGGGAAACUGGGUCUAAUACUGGAUACGACCGAUCUCCACAUGGUGUGUUGGGGGAAGGUUUUUGUGGUGGGGGAUGGACUCGCGGCCUAUCAGCUUGUUGGUGGGGUAAUGGCCUACCAAGGCGACGACGGGUAGCCGGCCUGAGAGGGCGACCGGCCACACUGGGACUGAGACACGGCCCAGACUCCUACGGGAGGCAGCAGUGGGGAAUAUUGCACAAUGGGCGAAAGCCUGAUGCAGCGACGCCGCGUGAGGGAUGACGGCCUUCGGGUUGUAAACCUCUUUCGCCAGGGACGAAGCUAACGUGACGGUAACUGGAGAAGAAGCACCGGCUAACUACGUG